rnacentral:rRNA from 1 species
ACUCCUACGGGAGGCAGCAGUGGGGAAUAUUGCACAAUGGAGGAAACUCUGAUGCAGCGACGCCGCGUGAAGGAUGAAGUAUUUCGGUAUGUAAACUUCUAUCAGCAGGGAAGAAAAUGACGGUAC